rnacentral:lncRNA from 1 species
GAGACAAGAAAAUAUUUUCACAACUCAAGACAAGUUAAAUAUCCACUUAUGGGAACAGUGCUGAAGGCCUGGACUAGGAUGGUAGCAAUGGAGACAGACUAAAGAAAGAGAUGCAAUCAUUCCCUUGCAUAUGGUCCGUAUGAAGACGGGAUCAUUACAGGAAAGGUGAAGGAGAUACAGUCAUUAUGCUCUAUAUACACCCAUUUUUAUGGCUAGCGGCUGAAGAUGGGAUGCUUUCUUUGCUGGAAGACCUAUUACCUGUUAGGUUGCAAAAGAUGUGAUCAUCUUCCUAAACAAUAAUUUAGAGUCCCAUAACAAUUUUAAGUGUGCUGUUCAUGAAAAUUUGAAUACAUUGUAUUGGGAAUAUAAUGGAAGUGAGAUGCCUCAUGUCGUGAGAAAAUCUGACAUAAACUCCUUAAGCAUGAGAGGCCAUGUGGGUAUGGAAGCCCUGAAAGGGAGGAAAAAACAGCCAGACCCUAGCUGUUCCAGUCAUCCCAACUGAGGUGCCAGACUUGUGAUUGAGGCCAUCUUGCAUCAUCUAGGCCUAGUAGAGCUGCCAACUGACUGCAGACACAUGAGUCAAUCCAGCUAAUGCCACAUGGAGCAGAGACAAGCCGCCCAGCUGAGCCCAGUCCAGAUGACAGAAUCAUGAGCAAAUAAGGUUGUUGUUCUUUUAAGCCACUAAAUUUUCGGGUGAUUUGUUACACAGUAAUAAAUAACUGAAACAACUA